AUACCUUUUGUCGUAUUUAUAUCUACUAUUGCAAAACGGUACAAUGCACGCACGAGACAUCUUAUCAUAAAUUUUUCUCACAAUCAUAGUCACGAUCGUAUAUUCCACUCGUUUUUCCUUUAUGUUCGAAUGUAUGGCGGCCUAGUAACAGUUUCUGUUGCCUGUCGCAUAGCGGCGUAGUUGUUGCCGGACUGUAGUGCAGCAUUCGUUAAGACAUUUUCAAUCUUAAGUCGUCUUUCAUAAACGGUUUGUCUUUUGUGGUUUAUAAAAUAUCGGUAUAACAUAUAUUUUUCACAGUGCUUAAUUUACAGCGUGCAUUCACUGGUCAACGCUUUACGUAAUAAAUUAUUUCGUUGCUGCGCACAUAAAAUGAAAGUCACGAUAAAAAUUUUCGUUACCAUUUAAUCGUGUAGAUUAAAUCACGAACCGCUAGAUACAGAAGUAAACAAUCGUAAACAUUUUUUAAGGUUGGACUGGUGUUGCCACCUGGCGUUGGAUAGCAAACGAUGACAAUUGCGGUAUAUGUAGAAUGCCUUUUGAUGCAAGUUGUCCAGACUGUAGGAUUCCCGGAGACGAUUGUCCUUUAGAAACGAAAGUAAUAAGGAAAAUAGCGUAGAGAAAAGGUGGAUGAGAAACGACGAGGGUUCGAUAGAGCGAAGGUUUGUAAAAUGCCGCGACAGCGUUUGCGCAGCUGUAGACAUUAAUAUCGAUCGGUGUGCCGAAUGAAACGGAUCGCUCGCACACGAUACCUCACGUUCUGACGCGCGCGUACUCGCGCGUGUCAAUGUAAACUCAACAAAGUCUGGUGAUUACCGGUGGUCAUCGAUAACAUAAAGUUUUGGGGCCAAUGCUCGCAUUGCUUCCACAUACACUGCAUCAUGAAGUGGUUGAAUACUCAUCAAACCAGGCAUCUCUGUCCGAUGUGUCGUCAAGAAUGGAAGUUCAAGGAGUAGUUGGUUUGCCGAUAGUCCCGCAGGUGUCAGCACGCAACGAGUAAUCAG